rnacentral:tRNA from 1 species
GAUUUAAUAGUUUAAUUAAAACAUUGGUUUUGUAAUCCAAAGAAAAGGGUUAACCCUUUUAAUUCA